AUUGCUUCUCGGCCUUUUGGCUAAGAUCAAGUGUAGUAUCUGUUCUUAUCAGUUUAAUAUCUGAUACGUCCCUUAUCUGGGGACCAUAUGUUAAAUUGAUUUUUUGGAACAGGGAGAUGGAAUAGGGGCUUGCUCCUUCCACUCCACGCAUCGACCUGGUAUUGCAUUGCCUCUGGGAACAGUACACUUCCC